AGGAAUGAAGGACCUAUCUUGGACCUCAAGGAUCAGCGUUGGACAGCAAACCAUGGAGGUGGCAGCAAGGUGGCGGGAGGUAACUCAAGUGUUGAUUUCAGAACAUUGAAACCGCCAUAAAGAGAUGAGAAGAAGGCCGCAUCCUCUUCAUCAAUGGGAUUUCGGCCAAGUGGAGGAUUCCCCCUCCAAUGGGUAUCUAUGGGCCAAAGAUGAGGGUUAUAACCUUGUUUUAUUGGGCCUAAGGCCAUGUAAUAGGGUCCAGCCAAUUUUUAGAUGUUUUCGUUGUGUUUUAGGAGGAUUCCUAGGCCGUUUCGGACUCCCACAAGGGCCUGGCCGAAAACCACCUAGUUCCCCUCCUAUUUAUACCCCAGGAGCCCCCCUAUGGAGCCUUGGGUUUUGAUUAGAUAAAGUUUAGCCUUUGCUACUUUCGUGUAAUC
rnacentral:lncRNA from 1 species